AUUGAACGCUGGCGGCAUGCCUUACACAUGCAAGUCGAACGGCAGCACGGGAGCAAUCCUGGUGGCGAGUGGCGAACGGGUGAGUAAAGUAUCGGAACGUGCCCAGUCGUGGGGGAUAACGUAGCGAAAGUUACGCUAAUACCGCAUACGAUCUAUGGAUGAAAGCGGGGGAUCGCAAGACCUCGCGCGAUUGGAGCGGCCGAUAUCAGAUUAGGUAGUUGGUGGGGUAGAGGCUCACCAAGCCGAAGAUCUGUAGCUGGUGUGAGAGGACGACCAGCCACACUGGGACGGAGACACGGCCCAGACUCCUACGGGAGGCAGCAGUGGGGAAUUUUGGACAAUGGGCGAAAGCCUGAUCCAGCCAUGCCGCGUGCAGGAUGAAGGCCUUCGGGUUGUAAACUGCUUUUGUACGGAACGAAAAGGUUUGGCCUAAUAAGCUGAGCUCAUGACGGUACCGUAAGAAUAAGCACCGGCUAACUACGUGCCAGCAGCCGCGGUAA
rnacentral:rRNA from 1 species